UCUCCGUUGGUGAACCAGCGGAGGGAUCAUUAUCGAGUUUAUAACUCCCAAACCCUAUGUGAACUUACCACUUGUUGCUUCGGCGCGCGCUUCGGCGCCGCCGAGGACACUUAAACUCUUUGUUUUUAUAAGCAUUUCUGAGUGGCCGAAAGGCAAAGUACAAAUGAAUCAAAACUUUCAACAACGGAUCUCUUGGUUCUG
rnacentral:misc_RNA from 1 species